AGCGAAUGCAAUGGGAGCUUGCUCCCGUUGGUUAGCGGCGGACGGGUGAGUAACACGUGGGCAACCUGCCUGUAAGACUGGGAUAACUUCGGGAAACCGGAGCUAAUACCGGAUAAUUCUUUUCCUCUCAUGAGGAAAAGCUGAAAGUCGGUUUCGGCUGACACUUACAGAUGGGCCCGCGGCGCAUUAGCUAGUUGGUGAGGUAACGGCUCACCAAGGCGACGAUGCGUAGCCGACCUGAGAGGGUGAUCGGCCACACUGGGACUGAGACACGGCCCAGACUCCUACGGGAGGCAGCAGUAGGGAAUCUUCCACAAUGGACGAAAGUCUGAUGGAGCAACGCCGCGUGAGCGAUGAAGGCCUUCGGGUCGUAAAGCUCUGUUGUUAGGGAAGAACAAGUACCGGAGUAACUGCCGGUACCUUGACGGUACCUAACCAGAAAGCCACGGCUAACUACGUGCCAGCAGCCGCGGUAAUACGUAGGUGGCAAGCGUUGUCCGGAAUUAUUGGGCGUAAAGCGCGCGCAGGCGGUCCUUUAAGUCUGAUGUGAAAGCCCACGGCUCAACCGUGGAGGGUCAUUGGAAACUGGGGGACUUGAGUGCAGAAGAGGAAAGCGGAAUUCCACGUGUAGCGGUGAAAUGCGUAGAGAUGUGGAGGAACACCAGUGGCGAAGGCGGCUUUCUGGUCUGUAACUGACGCUGAGGCGCGAAAGCGUGGGGGAGCAAACAGGAUUAGAUACCCUGGUAGUCCACGCCGUAAACGAUGAGUGCUAAGUGUUAGAGGGUUUCCGCCCUUUAGUGCUGCAGCUAACGCAUUAAGCACUCCGCCUGGGGAGUACGG
rnacentral:rRNA from 1 species